AUAUGCAUGGGUUUAUUUGUGGACUCUAUUAUUCUAAUGAUCUAUGUGUCUGUUUUUAUGCAAAUACCAUACUGUUUUGAUUACUAUUAUUUUAUAAUAUAGUUUGAAAUUUGGGAGUGUGAGCUCUCCAGCCUUGUUAUUCUUUCUCAAGAUUGUUUUGGCUAUUCAGGAUCUUUUGUGGUUCCACACAAAUUUUAGAAUUGUUUCUUCUAUUUCUGUGGAAAAAUACCAUUGGAAUUUUGAUAGGGAUUGCAAUGAAUCUACAGAUUUCAUUUGGUAAGAUGGACAUUUUAACAAUAUUAAUUCUUCCAAUCCAUGAGCACAAAAUAGCUUUCCAUUUAUUAGUGUCUUCUUCAAUUUAUUUCAUCAAUGUCUCAGAGUUUUCAGAGUACAGAUCUUUUAGCCCCUUGCUUAAAUUUAUUUCUAGAUAUUUUAGUCUUUUUGAUGCACUUAUAAAUGGGAUUAUUCUCUUAAAUUCUCUUUCUGAUAGUUCAUUGUUGGUAUACAAAAAUGCAGGAAUGGUGUGGAGGGUGGAGUGCUCACCUGCUGACACUUACAGGCUAGAGUAAGGAUAAAAAACGACAUCCACGCACACCUGCAAUCAGCAAGGCAGAGGGAGAGUGUGAAGAUGGCUCCCGCCUGUGCCUCCGACCCAGAGAGAGUCCCAACAAGCUUCUGCACCUCCAGCAAGUGACUUAAGAUCCAGGGCCUGCCUGCCUGUAUUCCCUUCCAGGCUGCCAAAUGCCAAGACCUGCUCCAGACGAAGGCUGCUUUGGCCAACCAAGACUCAUCUGCCCCCAGGGGGUCACAUGGCCAAGCCAGAGGAGACAACAAGAAGCCAAAUCAACUCUGGGCCAGGUGGAUUCCCCAUUUAAGAGCCAUUGAUGCUUUGCGGUAAAGACCAGAGCGUGGAGAGAGGUGCUGGUGCCGCCCUUUCAGGAGCUACUCCUCCUGCGGUGAGUACAACCAAUGCGUGUAUGAACAGAUCAAUUUGCAUGGUAUUAGUUAUUUAUUUUAUAGUAGUUAUUCCCUCAGUCGUGGUAUGCCCUACACCAUUAUUCGCCACUUGCCAAGUGACUUAAGAGCACGAUAGCGAUCAUUCAAAUCUAUUAACCUUUCUUUCUGAGUUUGAAAGUAAUUAGCAGCCUUCUGGCCUGCGUUGCCUAGGGCAGGAUGGUGAAUAUUGAAAGAGUAAUCUUGCCAUUUGAAGUGCUUCUGGCUUGAAUAAAUGUUUGCUCAGUUGCAGCAAUGCCCAGGUAAUUCCUUGGUAAUGAAGCAGGGAUCACCUUCCAGCGCUAGGGCGGGCAGGAAAAAUUAGUAGAUGCGGGAAUAGCUUGUGGGGUAGAUCUCUCUCAGCCUACCUUUCAGGUUUCUAUUUUAAAGAGGAAUUGCUGGUGUCUGUUCCUACUACCCAAGACGUAGGAAAUGAAACAAACCAAAAGGAGAAAACCGAAAAGUUAUUUCAGGCUGGCCGAUCUUAAACAACAACAAAAAACAACCCGAGGGAAUCCUGAAUAUCACAAACCAGGAGGCCUAGCCUGUCAUCCAAAUUUUAUUAAGAUCGUAGGGAUGGUUCUUCCCUCCUUAAGUCUUUUGUGUAUGGGGAGUUAGUUCUGUAAAGGCAAGUUUGCCAGUUAAUUCAUCACAGGUCUUCCUUUGUUGCACCCAUAUUUGUUUCUCCCCAGUCACAUUGUGUUUACAGUUAAUAACCACCACCUAUUAUCUCCAAUCUCUUCCUUCUGCCUUUCUGCGGUCCUGUCUUCUCCUUUAGUACAAAACUCCUCCUAUAAACCUCUAUGCAAAAUUCUCUCACAGUUUACUAAACCUCCCUUUCCUAACUGUAGGUGGUGAUUCCAGCUGCCCUCUGGGCAUCUCUACCUGAAUUUCCUGCUCUUGCUUGAAGCUCAACGUAUCCCAAACUGAACUUAUCCCCAGAUCUGCUCCUGCUCUUUCUAAUCAUUGCUGAAGCCCUGAGUAUGGGUUUUGGAUCUGCCCCCCUCCAUGAAUUCCUGCUGCCCACAGUCAAGUUGCUCUCACUCUUUCUAGGACUUCUUUGAAGUUCUUUUAGUUGACCUCAAUGCUUUUCAAAUACCAUUCCUGUAGGCAACCUGCCCAUUCAUUUUAGGCACAACUGUGGUCAAUCUGCCGCCCAACAACCAUGAGUAGCCCAUUAACGAAUUAGAGAGACGCUCCCCGGCCCAGCUGCACCACCAGAGCU